rnacentral:lncRNA from 1 species
AAUUGCAACUGAUUAUAAAUUAGUGGCUCAACCCAGAAAUCAAGAGCCUUUCAGUUUCUUAGAUAAAGCAUUCUGAGGGCAGACUGAGUCUCCUAAUCCUCUUGUGUGGAUGGAGACAGUCUAGUUAUUGCCAGAACAGUGUUUGCUGAUGUCUUUUCCUUGUGUUCUUCUGCACCUGGCUGGGAUAUAAAGCAGCAGUUACUAGAAUAAGUCCCAGGUAGCAGAAGAAGGUCACUGUAUUAACCAGGAACAAAGAAAGCUAUUUCUGGAGCAGCAAGAAAUUAAAAAUCAGAACACAUGACCCAGAGCUCUCUGUACAGGUUCCUCUCUUUGAAAAUGGGUGCCCAGUGACACAUGUCAGGUGUCUUUUGGAGAGAUUUGAGGAGGAUCCCAGAACUUAACAGCUCUCUGGUAAAUCCCCUCACUUCAUGUUCAGGUGUAACUGAAACCAUGGAAAGUAAAACCCUGGACAAGUGAAUACUACUACGUGCCCCUGUGAGGCUGAACCUCCCCACCUCAGAAAUAUUUCUCAAGUACCUGCAUGUUCUAGAAGGAGAAUUUUUUAAAAGUGGCUUCUUUAGAACAGUCUGAUGGUCUCAGGCUUCUGGAGCAAAGGGAAGGAGAAAAUAAAAAAGCUGAAACACAAGGUUCAUCUGUUCACCUUUCCUUUUGAGGAAAAACAAGUUGAUGGCUGUCUACAAUCAUUGAUCUCCGUUGGGCAAUACUCAGCUGCUGGACUUGCUUGAGGUACUGGAUUUGAGCAGUACGCUCUUGGCAUCUCUUGCUCCUUGG